CAAGUGAACACUGCAUAUAUAUUAGUGUUAGUGUGCUACAUAUAUAUAGCAAGUGAUGUGUGAUAGAGCUGCAUUUGCACCUGCACCUACAGAGAGGAAGAUGAAGCAGCAAGCUAGCAAUACGUGCUUGAUCGCUAUACGCUAGCUUCUUGCACACAAUGUUGUUCCUGGUCUCUUCCUGAUCCCUAGGUGCAGAGGCAGAUGCAACUAUGUCAUAGACUUCACAUCCAUCUUUAGUUACUUACCACUAUAUAUUCAAUAAAUUAGCUAGCACCCUAGUUCUCUUGCUGAUUCCUUUCAAAAAAUCUUCAUUGGUGGUCGAAACUGGUACAUAACAACCAUCAAUAGCGGGGGGCAGGGUCAGAGUGGCGGCAACACAAUGAGUUUUGUGUGUGUUCGUUUGCAGAGGUACUUGCUUGGACGAAGGAAAAGAGGGCGAGCAUCACGAAUGCAUGGAUGAUCAAAGAGGUUGAUUGGGGACCAAACCAAGACCUUCUCCAAGUAUACUUCUACCCCACCACGUCACUUUUUGUCCAUAGAAAACAAGAGAUAAAGUUCUACACGUUUUGGAUUUGGAUUUAGGCCUCCUGACAGCAUCAACUUCAAACUUCGGGGCUCCUGACCUAGCCACUGAUCUAGAAGGAAUUUCGGGGCCCAUGAGUACUUGUUGGAAAGCUUAUGAAGUCUACUUUCAUAUCGUUUUGGUCCCACGUCAAAAUUCCUACUGAGCUGCCAGGAAUCUGCAAAACAAACCACACACCUCAUCUAGUCCGAAUCUUAUUUGGGUUUUGGGCCUUGUAAUUGUGUCGUGGGCUUAGCCCAAGGACAUCCCUAAUCAUACUUAAUCAGUAGCCGUCAUUGUUUAGAGUCGGGUUUUGCUUAGAUUAUUCUGUCAAGAAUAGUUUCGCCGCUAGAUCGGUUUGUAGAACCCUAAAUUCGAGUGCUUAAUCAUUCAUAUGCAAUUGUGUUGCAA